rnacentral:rRNA from 1 species
GACGAACGCUGGCGGCGUGCCUAAUACAUGCAAGUAGAACGCUGAAGAGAGGAGCUUGCUCUUCUUGGAUGAGUUGCGAACGGGUGAGUAACGCGUAGGUAACCUGCCUUGUAGCGGGGGAUAACUAUUGGAAACGAUAGCUAAUACCGCAUAACAAUGGAUGACACAUGUCAUUUAUUUGAAAGGGGCAAUUGCUCCACUACAAGAUGGACCUGCGUUGUAUUAGCUAGUAGGUGAGGUAAUGGCUCACCUAGGCGACGAUACAUAGCCGACCUGAGAGGGUGAUCGGCCACACUGGGACUGAGACACGGCCCAGACUCCUACGGGAGGCAGCAGUAGGGAAUCUUCGGCAAUGGGGGCAACCCUGACCGAGCAACGCCGCGUGAGUGAAGAAGGGUUUCGGAUCGUAAAGCUCUGUUGUAAGUCAAGAACGGGUGUGAGAGUGGAAGGUUCACACUGUGACGGUAGCUUACCAGAAAGGGACGGCUAACUACGUG